CUUUCACGUGACCUCUGGCCUGGAUUUAAAAUUUUUACCGGUAUUUCCGAGUGCACGGCGGCACGGAUUCAUUCGUUCGUACACUCAAGACUGGUUGCUUCUUUGUUUCUAAAACUAGUUUCUUGCGCUUCUAUGUAACUUGGGGUGAAGUUACGUGUUUGCAAGCGGACAUGUAAGCCCGGCAGUUGGGUUUCGGUCGUGAGCCAUUCGGAACAGGUCUGCAUCGAAACGGGAGCUGGAUUUUGCUGCGGCUGACAACGGCAAUAACGACAUGCAGUAAUGAGGACGGCACCAGUAUAAAGCAACACACUCCACGCACUAAACAGAAGCUGCUGCCUGCUACGACAAGGUCAUUGUGUGGACAUUGGCUACUACUACAAGAGUCUAUGCCAAGCACAUCUUGGUCAUCACAGGAGCUCCUAUCUGCACCAACAGGAAGGGGCUGGAGCCGAAUUUGCAAGGCUUUUACACCAAGAACAAAGAAGCAUAUGCACAAGAAUAUGGAUGAGAUAUCAAGUCUGCAAAGGACUGUGUUAAGACUGCAAAGAGCUUCAGCCACCAUUCCACCAGCACGGACAUUUGGCUGAGUCAUCCAAGUAACUCAAAAAGGACUUUCUAGAAAUUCUUCGUCUUCAGAUGCACCUGCAACAUCUGACCAAGCACGGACGACGCUGGCCAAAAGAUUGAGUUUCAUCAGUUCGUCCUUAAUCAGCUUCCAAGCCAUGUUAAUUCCGUUUGUGCGAAGUGUAAUUUUUCUUCUAUAAAUGCAAGCUUUCUCAUUGCCCAUUUUUGUUAGAGGUUAUUCAUCCUCAUCCAAAUAUAAAGGUCAACCUUUAUAUUUGGAUAUUUCGCUGAUACUUAAUACCAGUCACU